AGCAGCCGCGGUAAUUCCAGCUCCAAUAGCGUAUAUUAAAGUUGUUGCAGUUAAAAAGCUCGUAGUUGAAUUUCGGGGUCAGUAGGCUGGUCGUGCCACGGGUAUGUACUGGUUUCACUGAUUCCUCCUUCCUGAAGAACCGUAAUGCCAUUAAUUUGGUGUUGCGGGGAAACAGGACUGUUACUUUGAAAAAUUAGAGUGUUUAAAGCAGGCUAACGCUUGAAUACAUUAGCAUGGAAUAAUGAAAUAGGACGAUCGAUCCUAUUUUGUUGGUUUCUAGGAUUGACGUAAUGAUUAAUAGGGAUAGUUGGGGGCAUUAGUAUUCAAUUGUCAGAGGUGAAAUUCUUGGAUUUAUUGAAGACUAACUACUGCGAAAGCAUUUGCCAAGGAUGUUUUCAUUAAUCAAGAACGAAAGUUAGGGGAUCGAAGACGAUCAGAUACCGUCGUAGUCUUAACCAUAAACUAUGCCGGCUAGGGAUCGGAUGAUGUUAAUUUUAUAAUGACUCAUUCGGCGCCUUAA
rnacentral:rRNA from 1 species